rnacentral:rRNA from 1 species
CGGAGGGUGCAAGCGUUAUCCGGAUUUAUUGGGUUUAAAGGGUCCGUAGGCGGACUCGUAAGUCAGUGGUGAAAUCUCAUAGCUUAACUAUGAAACUGCCAUUGAUACUGCGGGUCUUGAGUAAGGUAGAGGUAGCUGGAAUAAGUAGUGUAGCGGUGAAAUGCAUAGAUAUUACUUAGAACACCAAUUGCGAAGGCAGGUUACCAUGUCUUAACUGACGCUGAUGGACGAAAGCGUGGGGGAGCGAACAGGAUU